rnacentral:lncRNA from 1 species
GGUAGGAACACCACGACCGGCAGCCCGACCAAGUCCCGGGCCGGGAACAGCAGAACCGGCAGAAGUAGACUUGACUCGAGUUUCAUCAGGAGGAGGUGGACCCUCAACAGUCAUGGAAAUAACCUCUUCACCACGGAGAAGUACGAGACCAAGUGUACGCCGAUCUUCACGUUCUUCUUUGGAUCCUUUUGAGUAGGAACACCACGACCGGCUGCCCGACCAAGUCCCGGGCCGGGAACAGCAGAACCGGCAGUAGACUUGACCCGGGAUUCAUCAGGAGGAGGUGGGCCCUCAACAGUCAUGGAAAUAACCUCUUCACCACGGAGAAGUACAAGACCAAGUGUACGCCGAUCUUCACGUUCUUCUUUGGAUCCUUUUGUCGGAGGAAGUUUGCGGAACUCUUCACAGUCUCCGAGCACG